GGAUUAGAUACCCUGGUAGUCCACGCCGUAAACGAUGUCUACUAGUUGUCGGUUGUCUUGUACGACGGGUAACGCAGCUAACGCGAUAAGUAGACCGCCUGGGGAGUACGGCCGCAAGGUUAAAACUCAAAUGAAUUGACGGGGGCCCGCACAAGCGGUGGAGCAUGUGGUUUAAUUCGAAGCAACGCGCAGAACCUUACCAACCCUUGACAUACUAGUCGCAGAUCUCGUAGUGAGAUCCUUCAGUUCGGCUGGACUAGAUACAGGUGCUGCAUGGCUGUCGUCAGCUCGUGCCG
rnacentral:rRNA from 1 species